rnacentral:rRNA from 1 species
AAUGGGGGAAACCCUGAUCCAGCGACGCCGCGUGGGUGAAGAAGGCCUGCGGGUUGUAAAGCCCUUUCGGUAGGGACGAAAACUCUUGCUCUAACAGAGCAGGAGCUUGACUUAACCUACAUAAGAAGCACCGGCUAACUCUGUGCCAGCAGCCGCGGUAAUACAGAGGGUGCGAGCGUUAAUCGGAAUUACUGGGCGUAAAGCGCACGUAGUCGGCUUGUCAAGUCGGGUGUGAAAUCCCCGGGCUCAACCUGGGAACUGCAUCCGAAACUGACUUGCUAGAGUAUGGGAGAGGGAAGCGGAAUUUCUGGUGUAGCAGUGAAAUGCGUAGAUAUCAGAAGGAACAUCAGUGGCGAAGGCGGCUUCCUGGACCAAUACUGACGAUCAGGUGCGAAAGCGUGGGGAGCAAA